rnacentral:rRNA from 1 species
GAUGAACGCUGGCGGCGUGCUUAACACAUGCAAGUCGAACGGAAAUAGAAUGAAAAAGCUGAUGCUUGCAUCAGCAUGGGAUUUCUAUUUUAGUGGCGGACGGGUGAGUAACGCGUGGAUAACCUGCCUUACACUGGGGGAUAACACUUAGAAAUAGGUGCUAAUACCGCAUAAGCGCACAGGACCGCAUGGUCUGGGGUGAAAAACUCCGGUGGUGUAAGAUGGAUCCGCGUCUGAUUAGCUAGUUGGCGAGGUAACGGCUCACCAAGGCGACGAUCAGUAGCCGGCCUGAGAGGGUGAACGGCCACAUUGGGACUGAGACACGGCCCAAACUCCUACGGGAGGCAGCAGUGGGGAAUAUUGCACAAUGGGCGAAAGCCUGAUGCAGCGACGCCGCGUGAGUGAAGAAGUAUUUCGGUAUGUAAAGCUCUAUCAGCAAGGAAGAAAAUGACGGUACUUGACUAAGAAGCCCCGGCUAACUACGUGCCAGCAGCCGCCGUAA